rnacentral:rRNA from 1 species
GCUUAACGCGAAGAACCUUACCACCUUUGACAUGCCUGGACCGCACGGAGACGUGGCGUUCCUUUCGGGGACUAGGACACAGGUGCUGCAUGGCUGUCGUCAGCUCGUGUCGUGAGAUGUUGGGUUAAGUCCCGCAACGAGCGCAACCCUCGCCAUUAGUUGCCAUCAUUAGUUGGGAACUCUAAUGGGACUGCCGGUGCUAAGCCGGAGGAAGUGGGGAUGACGUCAAGUCCUCAUGGCCCUUACAGGGUGGGCUACACACGUGCUACAAUGGCGACUACAGAGGGUUAAUCCUUAAAAGUCGUCUCAGUUCGGAUUGUCCUCUGCAACUCGAGGGCAUGAAGUUGGAAUCGCUAGUAAUCGCGGAUCAGCAUGCCGCGGUGAAUACGCUCCCGGGUCUUGUACACACCG